GCAGAGGGCUGCAGAGGACAAAAAGGAGGAGGCUCGCCUUCGGAGAGCAGAGACGGGAGAAGGCAGACAGCGAGACUGCCCGAGGAACGGGAGGAGAGGGGAGGACAGGAGAUCCGAAGCUAAAAGCUCGGUCACAUCUAGACAGGACACAAUAUGAGGUAAAGCUAGAAUGAAGGACAGGAUUAAAAGAAGGGAAGAGAAAUGAGCGGACAGGGCACAGAGAGGGAGAAAUGACAGACAAUCAGGAAAGGGAACGUGCAUAAAGGAAAGACAAAGAUGAUUUCUCCAUGUGUGACCAGAAGGAGGGCGGUUAAAAAGAAAGAGAAAGGAGUAACAGGGAAAAGGGUCUUAAGACGGAGACAAAAGAAGCAAGCAGUGCACAAGUCCUAGUUAAAUGCUUAGAAAAUCACCAGGCUGUCGGGCUGAGCUGGAAGACGAGCCCUAGCCGUACCCAAGAGGGGACCAUCAGAAAGACGGAGGCAGGCAAUUUAAGUAGCUGGUUACUAGGUAAAAAUGAAAAAAAAAAUUGAAGAAGGAAAAGGUGAGAAGCAGAAGAGGGAAAACCCAAAGGACACACUGGCCCAGAAACCUUUUUAACUUUCUGUAAGAAUCUUCAAGGCCCCAAACUAGGCCAAGAUUCUGACUGACAUUUCUGAGCUCACCAGCUGCUGUUUCCUUGAGAGAAUUCUGACAGGAAGGCAUAGAAACGCAAGCCAACACUGCCAGCGCCGAAAAAAAAUAAAUAAAUAACAACCGUGCUCUGAGCACCUCAAUGGGGCCGAAACCUGUCGGAGAAGGCACACAGCUGAGAAGGACCGCCUGCAACUUUUCCCCAGGUCUGAGAGUGAACCAGGGAUUGUCGAGCAUCCCCAGGACAUCUACAGAUCAGACUCACCCCAAAGGGAAUGACAAGAGCCCUCUGUCAUCACAAAAGCGUCUCACCAGGAGCUCUCAAAGCUAUGCUGUACAAGAUUUAAGGAAAUCUUUUUCUCUUUCCUUUCAAGCUAACUAUGAC
rnacentral:lncRNA from 1 species